GUCUGAAGCCAUACCACCUUGAACACGCCUGAUCUCAUCUGAUCUCGGAUGUUAAGCAGGGUCAGGCCUGGUUAGUACUUGUAUGGGAGACAGAUCUUCAGAAGAGACUGCUCAGAGA
rnacentral:rRNA from 1 species